rnacentral:rRNA from 1 species
GACGAACCGUGCGAACGUUGUUCGGAAUCACUGGGCUUAAAGGGCGCGUAGGCGGCUGCACAAGUCCGGGGUGAAAUCUUUCGGCUCAACCGGAAAAGUGCCUCUGAUACUGUGCAGCUCGAGGGAGGUAGGGGCGGACGGAACUUCCGGUGGAGCGGUGAAAUGCGUUGAUAUCGGAAGGAACGCCGGUGGCGAAAGCGGUCCGCUGGCCCUCUACUGACGCUGAGGCGCGAAAGCCAGGGGAG